GACGAACGCUGGCGGCGUGCUUAACACAUGCAAGUCGAACGAAGUGGCGAACGGGUGAGUAACGCGUAAUCAACCUGCCCUUCAGAGGGGGACAACAGUUGGAAACGACUGCUAAUACCGCAUACUGAAGGAGGGGAUUGCGUCUGAUUAGCUAGUUGGAGGGGUAACGGCCCACCAAGGCGAUGACCAGUAGCCCGUAUGGGAGGAUGGACGGCCACAUUGGGACUGGGACACGGCCCAGACUGCUACGGGAGGCAGCAGGUGGUAAUCUUGCGCAAUGGACGGAAGGCUGAAGGAGCAACGCCGCGUGAGUGAUGACGGCCUUCGGGUUGUAAAGCUCUGUUAAUCGGGACGCGGUACCGGAAUAGAAAGCCACGGCUAACUACGUGCCAGCAGCCGCGGUAAUUC
rnacentral:rRNA from 1 species